AUACUUACCUUGAUUGACUGCGCGGAGAUCAAGAAAACCGCGUAGUACGGUGGAGAGCCUGCAUUGCACAUCGUGGUGCUAGCCAUCGUGAAUUGCCCUUCGGGGCCGUUCCGGUCGUAAUUUUUGAUGUCGAAAAUCAUUCAAU
rnacentral:snRNA from 1 species